rnacentral:misc_RNA from 1 species
CACACUUUUAGUUAUAAGUGAAUAUUUAACGCAAAAAGGAUGAGAUGAAUCGAUUGAUGGCAUUAUUCAUAAGGAACACUCCGUUAUCGUCAUCUUUUACUGAGCCAAUCACAACAAUUAGGCACUCUCGUCAUCUCCUUGUGAUUGAAUUGUCCAUUGUGUGAUUACGGUAAACCACGCGGAUAGGCAACAGUUUAAAUGGAUUGACAAAAACCAUCAGAAGCAUUUAUUAUCAUUAACUUUGAUCGAAACACUCUUAGACUUGCUCAAGGCAAUGGGAACAUUACGCUGGGGAAGUGUUAUGUCAGUCUUGCUUUUUCUAUGUACAAUUUCUAUUGCAAACGCAAGGACAGUGUUAAGAAAUGCAAACGAUGCUCUAAUACUAGAUGAACUAUUUGGUGAUUCUCCAUUUCCUGAAAAUGAUGAUUUUAGAUGGAGUUACCAAGAGCAUGGAAUUCCCGAGGAGGAUGUAGAACAAAGAAAUAUUUUAAUGAAAGUUUUGCGAAGUAAAACACAGACGAGAAGAAAGCGGCCACUGGGGUUCGAAAAUAUAGAUUUAGUCGCAUCACACUUUGACAAGUCGAGAGGGAAGAACCCAUUAUCAAUAUCUGGCAUGUCUUGGGAUGAUUUGAGAAACAUGAUGAAGGAUGCAGGGAAAAAACGAUAAAUCAUGUUACUCAUCUACAGCUAGGGUAUGUUUUUAUUUAGUUAUGUGCUGCGAUACGUUCGCUAAUCCACUGGUUAAAGAAAGAGCGUGAAUAGAAGCAACGCCCACGUACAAUUAAUUCAAUGCGCUCUACGAGUGCCCUCUACUCGUAUUUCAUCUGUUGACUUUGAAUGAACAUGGAUUUUGCAGUUUAAUUCUUCAAUCAAUGAAUAGAAUUAUUUGUUAUUGUAUUAGUCUCAAAUGGUGCAGUCACUCUCCACUUGGCUUUAACAUUUGAGACUGAAAAAAGUCUGAAUUUUAACUUGAUUUGUGAAUAAAAUAAAAGUUAAGUGAUUAUAUUUUAGACUGCAA